ACGGGAGGCAGCAGUGGGGAAUAUUGCGCAAUGGGGGAAACCCUGACGCAGCGACGCCGCGUGAGUGAAGAAGUAUUUCGGUAUGUAAAGCUCUAUCAGCGGGGAAGAUGAUGACGGUACCUGACUAAGAAGCCCCGGCUAACUACGUGCCAGCAGCCGCGGUAAUACGUAGGGGGCAAGCGUUAUCCGGAUUUACUGGGUGUAAAGGGAGCGUAGACGGCUGUGCAAGUCUGAAGUGAAAUCCGCGGGCUCAACCCGCGAACUGCUUUGGAAACUGUAUAGCUAGAGUGCAGGAGAGGUAAGUGGAAUUCCUAGUGUAGCGGUGAAAUGCGUAGAUAUUAGGAGGAACACCAGUGGCGAAGGCGGCUUACUGGACUGUAACUGACGUUGAGGCUCGAAAGCGUGGGGAGCAAACAGGAUUAGAUACCCUGGUA
rnacentral:rRNA from 1 species